CAUUUCUUCACUGAUUCAUAGGUAUGCCCCCUCUCGGUCUCUCCGCUCCUUUCUGCUGCUCACACCCUUACUGCAAAUUCACGCCAGCAGGACUUCUCACGGGCAGCUCCUUUCAUUUGGAACAGCCUGCCUACCCCUGUCAGACUCUCCCCUAGUCUUCAAUCCUUUAAGAAGUCCCUUAAAACCCAUCUUUUCUGGAAUGCUUAUGGCCUCCAAGAGUAACUUCUAUCUCUCAAACCCUCCUCUUGAUCUCUCCUGAUGAGCUCCACUCUCACUUCCAGCUCUGCUACUUUCCCACCAUGUCUGUUUGCUGUCUCUCUCAAUACCCUUCAUUUUGUGUUUUUAUACCCCACCUCCUCUAGACUGUAAGCUCGUUUAGCAGGGUCCUCAGCUACCUAUUGUUCCUGUUACAUUUUGUUAUUGUCUCAUUUGGUAAAUUCCCCUUUUAUUGUAAAGCGCUGGUCAGUGCUAUAAUGGCGCAAGUCACAGCAGAGCGUCCCAUGAUGUAGGUAUAGGGGUUUAUGGAGUUAGGGGGCUUAUAGUGAGUUUAUAGGGUUAGGAAAACUUAGGAGAUUCCUUCUUUCAUUGUGCUAUGGACUGCCACCAGUUUUCAAGCAUUUG